UACGGGGGGAGCAAGCGUUGUUCGGAUUUACUGGGCGUAAAGGGCGCGUAGGCGGCCACCGCAAGUCGACUGUGAAAUCUCCGGGCUUAACCCGGAAAGGUCAGCCGAUACUGCGGGGCUAGAGUGCAGAAGGGGCAACUGGAAUUCUCGGUGUAGCGGUGAAAUGCGUAGAUAUCGAGAGGAACACCUGCGGCGAAGGCGGCCCCCUGGUUGGAUACUGACGCUGAUACGCGAAAGCGUGGGGAGCAAACAGG
rnacentral:rRNA from 1 species